GAUGAACGCUAGCGGCAGGCCUAAUACAUGCAAGUCGAACGGUAAGGCCCUUUCGGGGGUACACGAGUGGCGGACGGGUGCGUAACGCGUAUGCAACAUGCCUUCCAGCGGGGGAUAUGCCAGGGAAACUUGGUGCAAUACCCCAUGGUAUUCACGGGUCACAUGGCCUGUGGAUUAAAAACUCCGGUGCUGGGAGAUUGGCAUGCGUGACAUUAGCUAGUUGGCGGGGUAACGGCCCACCAAGGCGACGAUGUCUAGCUGGUCUGAGAGGAUGAUCAGCCACACUGGGACUGAGACACGGCCCAGACUCCUACGGGAGGCAGCAGUAGGGAAUAUUGGACAAUGGGCGGAAGCCUGAUCCAGCCAUGCCGCGUGAGGGAAGAAGGU
rnacentral:rRNA from 1 species